UCUCUGUUGCUAGUAUCCUCUCCUCGAGGUCCCGCCUGCCAACCCAAAUGCCAGUCCGGUUCUGUCUGUGGCUGCCUCCCACCCAGCUCUCCAACCUCCCAUGGCGAUCUCCACCUCUGAAGACGACCAUGGCUGGGCUCUCCAACAUCUCCUUCGAUCCUGGGCUCAAGUUUGGCAACCAGAUCAUUCAGCGCUUUGGCUGCUCGGGAGGUGAUAGUCCAUAGCCUACUUCUGCAACAUGAAAGGCCGUGGAGGAGGGAUGGAAUGUGCAUGUGGUGAAGUGCUCAGCUAGUGGUGAGAAGAUGAAGAUUAUGCUCCAAGUGAUGGACAUAUUGAGUAUGCGGGAUGCAAGUAGUCUCAUAUGGCAAGAUGGUGAAGACCAAGACAAUGCUUGGCUACAAUGGACUAUGCAAAAGCUCAAGGGAAAGCUAGAGGCUCGGGGACUAUGGAUCAUCAAGACAGUUAAGUGUGAGUAUAGGGUUUGGCGUCGAUUGACCAAGAUGAUGGUGAAGAGCGGGCAAUGCUAAGGUCGAUGGACUAUGAAUCUGCAUCAUUUGUGAAGAUUAAGCCAAGAGUUGAUGAUCUGUGAAUGUGAAGAUAUCAAAUGGCUUGAAAGUGUGAAGAUGUAGUAGACAAUGAUCAAGAUAAGAUGAAAUAGUGAAUUUCAUAUGAUGAUGACCAUUGACGUGAAGAGGAUGAUAUGGAGAAAUAGAGAGUGAUUGUUUGCGGGAUUUGUGACUUUGAUGAUUAGGAUAGAUAGUCAUACUAUUAGGAGAGGCAUAUAUGUUUUGCUUAUCGGUUAUCUAGUGCUACCAAGUGAGAUUUGAUUUAUGUAUGCAUUAGAUCUAGUAGUGUGGUGAGAUGAAAGUGAAAACCUUUGAGCAAUGUUUUCAAAAUGCUUGCAGGAUUGUUUAGCGUUUGCAUUUCUUCUUCACAAACCAUCUAGCCAGUUCACAUUUUCAUGAGAUGCGGACCGUCCCGCCAAGUUUACUUCUAUUUUCUUGAUUUCUUCA